rnacentral:ncRNA from 2 species
CUUCCUGAGGGGCGCUGCGACGGGGCUGGGAUUGGGCCGACAGGCUUUUCAGUAACACCCGCUAGGCUCAGGAUCAUCUUUUGUUUCAACGGCGCUCAUCAUUU